rnacentral:misc_RNA from 1 species
AGAUGAUCGGAUACCUCGAUAUCACAAGAGAAACCUAAAAUCGCACGAUCGGAACGUGUUGUCCUUUGCCUCGAAAGGAAUUGUCGGAGAAGAUUUCCGCGAAUUUAAACCGUACGCAAGAGUGGAUUUGCAAACGGAGGGGAAAUCCUAGUAUCAAAGAGGAAUCGUAGUCUCCUUCAUCCCACGAAGAUUUCCGCCUCUUUCGUGCUUCUCGCGAUACGUUAUGUCGUGUAACAUCGUGCAGCCACUCCUGUCGUGAGCCGACAAAGUCCCCGAUUUUUGCUGGCCCAGAUCUUAAAGGUGAACCGACGAGAGAGAAACCAGAAGACAGAGGGAGAAGGAGAGGAGAAAGAAAGGAUCGCCGUUCCCGAUCGUACCUUCCACUCUUUCUCGGACGCACCUUCUGCCCCGCACGUACGUCCGUCUCUGUUUAACUCGCGCGAGAUUUUCACGAUUUUCUCCUUUCUCCGUUCCGCCGUUACGGUCCCAUACCACGAAGACACGUGGGAGAGGGAGAGAGUGAGAGGUUACCGUGAAUGAUUCCGCGGAGGCUUGGCUGCC